rnacentral:rRNA from 1 species
UUACCCACUCCCGGCACGGGGAGGUAGUGACGAAAAAUAACAAUACGGGACUCUUUUGAGGCCCCGUAAUUGGAAUGAGUACACUCUAAAUCCUUUAACAAGGAUCAAUUGGAGGGCAAGUCUGGUGCCAGCAGCCGCGGUAAUUCCAGCUCCAAUAGCGUAUAUUAAAGUUGUUGUGGUUAAAAAGCUCGUAGUUGGAUCUCAGUUCCAGUCAAGUGGUCCGCUUUUCGGCGGUUUCUGCUUGUACUGAACAUCCUGCCGGUUGUCCCUAGGUGCUCUUUACUGAGUGUCUUGGGUGCCCGGCACGUUUACUUUGAAAAAAUUAGAGUGCUUAAAGCAGGCGAUUCGCCCGAAUAAUGGUGCAUGGAAUAAUGGAAUAGGACCUCGUUUCUAUUGUGUUGGUUUUCGGAACACGAGGUAAUGAUUAAGAGGGACAGACGGGGGCAUUCGUAUUGCGGCGCUAGAGGUGAAAUUCUUGGACCGUCGCAAGACGAACUACU